UUGCCGGCGACCGGCGCACGGGUGAGUAACACGUAUGCAACCUGCCCGUCUCAGGGGGAUAAUCGUCGGAAACGGCGUCUAAUACCCCGUAUGAAGCUGGACGGCAUCGUCUGGUUUUGAAAGAAUAUCGGAGACGGAUGGGCAUGCGGCGCAUUAGCUAGUUGGCGGGGUAACGGCCCACCAAGGCGACGAUGCGUAGGGGUUCUGAGAGGAAGGUCCCCCACAUUGGUACUGAGACACGGACCAAACUCCUACGGGAGGCAGCAG
rnacentral:rRNA from 1 species